ensembl:lncRNA
GCCGUCGGGGCUCCUAACUCCUCUACUCCGGGCUCCCGGGACUGCAAGGGGCUGGAGUGUCGGCUCCCUCCGUUGAGGCUGGCGCGCCAGAAACACAGAGCCGCCGGCGGCCGGGUCCCUGUCUUCCAGCAACAGGGCGAAGGCUGCGCGGGGACCGGACUAGGGCCAGAAGAACCCACCUUGGUCCGGGUCAACGAGCGAGCCGCGCAGUUCAUCGGGGAGGUGACCCCAGAAUUGGCCCACCCCGCCCCUGACCUAGGGGGCGCAGGCCUGGGCGUGCAGCUCACCUGCGACAUCAGGCCAGGAGAAAAUGAGGUUCCUUCUGAAGAUGCACUUAUCCUGCAACUGCAGCUUGCUAAAGGACAAGAAAAAUUUGUUGAGAUGUUAAAAAACCAGCAGAAAGUAAUUGCUGAUUUGCAGGACAAACUCACUGAGCAACAGAACACACUGAUUAGCCAGCAAAGAGAAAUCCUAGAACAACAGAAAAAAAUGUACGAGCAAAUGAAUCUCAUUAAGGUCCAGUACAGCAUGCUUUUUGACACAGUAAAACAAAUGUCAUUCCAGAAUUUGCAGGAGGACAUCCAGCGUUACUUUCAAACUCAUCUUCAAGGACUUCAGAACCAGGUCAGAAAUCAUCUGCAAAAGUCGUACUCUGUGCAUAAAGUUGAAGUUGAUGCAAAAAUGAUUGAUGUGGGAGAAACUUCACUGGACUGUGGCCUUUGUGAAAGUGAUGAAUUUUGCAAUUUCCAGAAGACACCCUCUCAGUGUGAAAAAUGCACUCUUUGCCCUGCUGGAUUUUUCCAAAUGUCUGAAUGUUCUGCAAACACUGACCGCAUUUGUCAGGACAGAGAUGAAUGCACUGAAUUACCAAAUGUUUGUGGUGAAAGAAUAAAAUGCCUGAAUACCCCAGGUGGCUUCCGAUGCCUGGGCAUCGCAGAGAAGGACGCCGCCCUCGGCUUUUGUGGGGAUGGUUACUUCUUCAAUAGGGAAAUACAAGAAUGCCAGGCUUGUUGGGAGUGUGAUGAUGGCAUGGUGGCUCUCCCCUGCUCCGCAGUCAGUGACACGGUGUGCUCAGCAGCCAUGGAAACCCAGCUCACUAAGUCUUGGGCUGCGGAUCUACAGCUGCCCUCCGCGAAGUCUGCCUCGGUCCAGGUCUAUCCCGGUUUGGACCUUAAGCUAAAAGGGAAGAGGAAAUUCGAUAUUGCCUUCGUGGAGGACAGCAAACUGGUCUUCAGGCAGCAUGGCCUACUCUGGGUUGACCUCAACUUUGCCGUGAAACACAACUGUAGGAAUUUCCUCCAGCUCUCCCUCAAGUCAAAUAGCAGCGAGGAGGGGGCUGAGCUCAGCGGAGUUCGUCUAGAACAGCCCGAAGGAAAGUACUUCCAGAGCGCCAGCUUAAGUAGCGCGGCCGAAGUGGAACCGAGUCAGACCCUGGCGGUGUUCCUGAGAAGCCCAAAUCAGUUCUGCAACCGAAGCAAAGACUUGAACGUGUACGAUCUCACCAGUCCGCUCAGCUUGUUCUGGCUGUCCCACGACACCGGGGCGGUGGCCAUGAGCGCCCAGAUGUCCACGGCCAUGCAUUACCAGACCAACUACCGCCCUACGUUUAAAAUCAGUUCCAUUUCGGAUCCGUACAUGGUCAGCCUCUCUCACGAUGGAAGGGGGGUAAGGUUCACCGAGGCCGGGGUCAUUAAGUUUGUUUUCCACCAGGCUCUGUAUUCCAUGGGUCACACCUGUGUCCGAGAAGGCUUUUCCUUGAUUUCUUAUAUCGGCAGGAAUGGCACCAACGUAGAGCUGAUGAACACGUUCAAAUCGGGAGUGAAUUACCGCGACACUUCUCUGUCUGCCUCGGGGGCAGUCGGAGUCCAGGCUGGAGAUCAGAUUAAUUUUGAGAUUUUCUCGCCAGCCCAGUGUAGCGUGCGCUACUUUGGGGACAGUUUGGGCGUGAGCGCAUUCAGCCUCAUCUGGAUCCCAUCUGCCGUUUCCUCUGCUCUUUCAGCCACCGUUUCCGCAACAGGCCUGCCUACUGGAGCUGUCAGGAACAAAUUUUUGGAUUUCAAACUUGUCACAUCCAAUGAGAAACAGAUCCAGCUGGUUUCUUCUGGACAGUACGCUCAGAGGUACUUCAAGUUUACCGAGAAGGGAGUUGCCAGCGUUGCUUUUAACUUAAAGUUGAUCCACUCUUGUAAUGUGAUCAAAGUUACCUUAAAUCAUUUGAUUGAGGAUCCACCACACCCAGCGCCAAUUGCUCAGCAAAUUGGGGGUCAGAUGCCCGAGGGAAGCAUAUGGACCAGUGUCAGCCUCUGUUCUUCUUUUGAAGUUCACAAUGGUACCAUGAUCUCCAUUUCUCUCGAUUGUGUUCGAGGAAGGAUCAAUCAGAUUUCCCACCAGCGUGGGACCGGCAUAUCAAUCUUAUGGAUCUCAUCUUAACUUUUUUAAGGGCUAGAAAAAACUGAUGGGUAGCUUUGAAGCACCCUCUGGACAUCGUUCAGGAUAAAGCAGUUUGUGAAACUACACAAGGUCUUGUAGAAAUAUCCUUAUUUCAAGAUGUAAGGUUAUUUACCCAAAGAGAAGACUUUCUUUAAAAAAAAAAACAAACCACCAACUUGCACUGUUAAUAUUUCCCUCCUCUAAGAAUUGGAGUUACAGACUCUUGGAUUCAAUCUGGGUUCUAGUUUUUGACAACAUAGUCUUAUUAAAUGCAGGGUCUGUGUAAACAUUACGAGAAAGUAAAAUGAAUAAAAACAAUUUGUCACAGAAAUUCA